rnacentral:rRNA from 1 species
ACUUGGACUUUCGAGCGACGCUUUAGCUACUAGUCGGUCGCAAGACCGACGAACGCGCGCU